CCUACGGGAGGCAGCAGUGAGGAAUAUUGGUCAAUGGUCGGGAGCCUGAACCAGCCAAGUCGCGUGAGGGAGGAAGGUUCUGUGGAUCGUAAACCUCUUUUAUCAGGGAAUAAAGUGCGGGACGUGUCCCGUUUUGUGUGUACCUUAUGAAUAAGGAUCGGCUAACUCCGUGCCAGCAGCCGCGGUAAUACGGAGGAUCCGAGCGUUAUCCGGAUUUAUUGGGUUUAAAGGGUGCGUAGGCGGGCUGUUAAGUCAGCGGUGAAAGGCUGGGGCUCAACCACAGCAUUGCCGUUGAAACUGGGAGGCUCGAGUGGGAGAGAGGCAGGCGGAAUGCGCGGUGUAGCGGUGAAAUGCUUAGAUAUCGCGCAGAACUCCGAUUGCGAAGGCAGCAUGCCAGGUCAUGACUGACGCUGAGGCACGAAAGCGUGGGGAUCAAACAGGAUUAGAUACCCGGGUAGUC
rnacentral:rRNA from 1 species